rnacentral:rRNA from 1 species
GACGAACGCUGGCGGCGUGCCUAAUACAUGCAAGUUGAGCGAUGAAGUUUGGUGCUUGCACCAAUUUGAAGAGCAGCGAACGGGUGAGUAACGCGUGGGGAAUCUGCCUUUGAGCGGGGGACAACAUUUGGAAACGAAUGCUAAUACCGCAUAAUAACUUUAAACAUAAGUUUUAAGUUUGAAAGAUGCAAUUGCAUCACUCAAAGAUGAUCCCGCGUUGUAUUAGCUAGUUGGUGAGGUAAAGGCUCACCAAGGCGAUGAUACAUAGCCGACCUGAGAGGGUGAUCGGCCACAUUGGGACUGAGACACGGCCCAAACUCCUACGGGAGGCAGCAGUAGGGAAUCUUCGGCAAUGGACGAAAGUCUGACCGAGCAACGCCGCGUGAGUGAAGAAGGUUGUCGGAUCGUAAAACUCUGUUGGUAGAGAAGAACGUUGGUGAGAGUGGAAAGCUCAUCAAGUGACGGUAACUACCCAGAAAGGGACGGCUAACUACGUG